UACGAACUGUGCGAACGUUAUUCGGAAUCACUGGGCUUACAGGGUGCGUAGGCGGCUUGUUAAGUAGGGUGUGAAAGCCCCCGGCUCAACCGGGGAAUGGCGCCCUAAACUGGCGAGCUAGAGUGAGAUAGGGGUGUGUGGAACUUCCGGUGGAGCGGUGAAAUGUGUUGAUACCGGAAGGAACGCCGGUGGCGAAAGCGACACACUGGAUCUUGUCUGACGCUGAGGCACGAAAGCCAGGGGAGCGAACGGG
rnacentral:rRNA from 1 species